rnacentral:rRNA from 1 species
GUAGCGGCGAGUGAAGCGGCAAAAGCUCAAAUUUGAAAUCUGGCACUUUCAGUGUCCGAGUUGUAAUUUGAAGAAGGUAUCUUUGGGUCUGGCUCUUGUCUAUGUUUCUUGGAACAGAACGUCACAGAGGGUGAGAAUCCCGUGCGAUGAGAUGACCCAGACCUAUGUAAAGUUCCUUCGAAGAGUCGAGUUGUUUGGGAAUGCAGCUCUAAGUGGGUGGUAAAUUCCAUCUAAAGCUAAAUAUUGGCGAGAGACCGAUAGCGAACAAGUACAGUGAUGGAAAGAUGAAAAGAACUUUGAAAAGAGAGUGAAAAAGUACGUGAAAUUGUUGAAAGGGAAGGGCUUGAGAUCAGACUUGGUAUUUUGUAUGUUACUCUCUCGGGGGUGGCCUCUACAGUUUACCGGGCCAGCAUCAGUUUGGGCGGUAGGACAAUUGCAAAGAAAUGUGGCACUGCCUCGGUAGUGUGUUAUAGUCUUUGUCGAUACUGCCAGCCUAGACUGAGGACUGCGGCUUCGGCCUAGGAUGUUGGCAUAAUGAUCUUAAGUCGCCCGUCUUGAAACACGGACCAAGGAGUCUAACGUCUAUGCGAGUGUUUGGGUGUAAAACCCGUACGCGUAAUGAAAGUGAACGUAGGUAGGACCUCCUUUAGGAGUGCACUAUCGACCGAUCCUGAUGUCUUCGGAUGGAUUUGAGUAAGAGCAUAGCUGUUGGGACCCGAAAGAUGGUGAACUAUGCCUGAAUAGGGUGAAGCCAGAGGAAACUCUGGU